AGCACCUUUCGUUCUCCUUCGGCGGGGCAACCCGCCGCUGGAACCUAAUCAAACCUUUUUUUGCAUCUAGCAUUACCUGUUCUGAUAAAAAACAAUCGUAACAACUUUCAACAAUGGAUCUCUUGGCUCUGGCAUCGAUGAAGAACGCAGCGAAAUGCGAUAAGUAGUGUGAAUUGCAGAAUUCAGUGAAUCAUCGAAUCUUUGAACGCACAUUGCGCCCCUUGGUAUUCCAUGGGGCAUGCCUGUUCGAGCGUCAUCUACACCCUCAAGCUCUGCUUGGUGUUGGGCGUCUGUCCCGCCUCUGCCCGCGGACUCGCCCCAAAGGCAUUGGCAGCGGUCCACGGCCCCUCUCGCGCAGCACAUUGCGCUUCUCGAGGCGGCCCGGCCCGCAUCCACGAAGCCACAUUACCGUCUUUGACCUCGGAUCAGUAGGGAUACCCGCUGAACUUA
rnacentral:rRNA from 1 species